UAAAGGUAUAGGAAGAUUAAGAUGUAGGUUUAGUUCAAUACUCCUUCAGGAUCUGGAAUCACACUGUGUAUUAUGCUGCAGUCAAUAGUACAUAAGUGAAAGAUACUGUCUGCUCCAUUGAUAAGUAUCAUUAGCUACUCAAUUACUAAGUACAAGUGAAUAAUUGUCACUAGCAGGAGGUACUAACUGUGCUUUCAUACACUCUGUUUGAGGCUCACAGGAUUUUGGCAAAACUGUUUCCAGGAAAGAAGAUGGAUACAUAUGGGCAUCACUGUGAGAUCUCCCCUUGUUCCUGGAAUUAUUUAAGAGCUUUGCUGUGUCUGAGCAAGGUGCUCAUGAAGUAUCAAGGGCCACAUUCUACCAUGUGAACCUGAAGAAGGGUGUAAGUAAUGUAACCCUGAAAAAACAACCAACUGGCCACUGCUCAUUAAACUGCCAUUUGCUCCAAGAGAGACCAAGAUGGAAAGGGUCUCACCAGGAAGACUCUAAUACAGCAAGGAGGAAGGGCUGAGGAGAUGCUGGUCAGGCUUGUGGCCCAGGUGACUUGGGAGUGCGUGGUGUGGAGAUGGAUACUCAAAGCAGUCCUCUGUAGUAGGGUCCCCAGGCUGUUGUCAACCAUUCCUGAGGAGUGACUGUGGCCAAAGUUUUGAUACUUAACAAGUGACAGUGUGGUGUGUGUGUGAGAGAGUGUGAGUGUGUGAGGAUAAUGUAUAUGUAAGAAAGUGUGUGUAUAU
rnacentral:lncRNA from 1 species